rnacentral:rRNA from 1 species
CUUGCUAACUAUAAGAGGUCCAGCCUGCCAGUGACAAAGUUAAACGGCCGCAGUACCCUAACCGUGCAAAGGUAGCGCAAUCACUUGUUCUUUAAAUGAGGACUAGGAUGAACGGCAUCACGAGGGUUAUACUGUCCCCCCCUUUUUUCAGUGAAACUGAUCUUCCCGUGAAGAAGCGGGAAUAUUAAUAUAAGACGAGAAGACCCCAUGGAACUUUAAACUCAAAAUUAACUGCCACAAACUUAACCUAAUAACUAUGCAGGAAUGACUUCUAGUUUUCGGUUGGGGUGACCGCGGAGUAAAAUAAAACCUCCACGACGAAAGGAAUCUAACCACCUAAACCAAGAGCCACAGCUCUAAGUAUUAAAACAUUAACCUAAUUGACCCAAUUACUUGAUCAACGAACCA